CCUGUUUGAAAAAUGUCGCACGUCGUACGAGUUGUCGCACGGUUUUGAUUUUACCGUUUCGAUAUCGAUUGGUCGAAAAGACGACAAACGUACGACAAACACUCGACAUGCCCGACAUUGUUUUUUCUAUCGAUUUUCCUUCAAUUUGACGUCACGAUUUUCGUCGACGCAAGAGUUUGACAGUUCUCUUCAGUUGGACUUGUUUGAACAUGAUUGCUGUUGAGCUUCGCAAGGAUUUUGGCCGGUUGAUAGGUUUCCUGAUUUCGGUUAUCGUGGUGGUGGAGGCGAAGGAGGAUGGGAAAUAGAGAUAACCCGGCGGCCAUGCCGGAAGACGGGAUGGGAAGGAACCAAUCUGCGGUCGAGGAAGCGGAUGUUUUAUUUUCCACGGGAGGUUGCGGUGCAUUCCCAAAAGAGAAAAAGGAUUAAAUACCAAGUUCUGGUCAAGGGAACAUAAAUAAGGAAACGGAACUUCCAAUUCCCAGAGAGUUGUUCACUGUUCUGGGUGAAUGAAAAGGCGGAGGAGGACGGAAUAAUACGCUCCCGGUGGCGUUUCUGAUUCGCCAGAAGUUAUUAUCAAUGACAUUCGAAAAUAUUCCUAUCUGAUCCUGCCGAAAGUCUUGCAAAGUGCGUAAACCCACGUUAUCCGUUACUUCAGUGGCCAUCAGUCCAUCGGACAUAAAACAG